CAUGUGUGGAGAGAUUGCGGACCAAAGAUUGUGUCUUGUGUUCCGUGGUCCUGGUCUAAUGGUAUGAGGACAGUGACGGGAAACACUUCCUGUUGUGAAACAGAACUAUGCAACAACAAAAAUGACAGCCUCCCAGCAAAAAUACCCUUGGGAGAUCCCAAUGGGAGGAAGUGCUACACCUGUGUGGAAAAGGGCUGCACUUCCCAGAUGGAAUGCUUUGCUGAUCAAACCCACUGCGGACAACCAGAAGGGCUGUGCCACAGAAAGUGCAUGCAACUUACUGAGUGCACAAAGUUUUGCAAAGAUGUCCUGCUGUAAUUCUACAAACCUGUGUAACAGUGUCAAUGACAUCACUCAGAAUCUUCUCCCUCUUAUUUUGAUGUCCUUGGGAUUAAUCUCUUACUUCU